AACCACCAGGGUUCAACUCCUGAAGCAGCUUGUAACUCGACAUGAGUUCGUAGAUUUUCUCCAAAUCUUUGCCUCCAAAGACCCUCCAAGACAACACAAGAGAUCUCCAGGGCUCUUCUCCCUAUCCUCAUCGACAUGGAUCUCACCAUCGAUAGAGCCCACAAGAUACCAAAAUCAAGUCAGAUCUGCUGCAUGCUUCAAAGGAUAUCCGGAUUCAGGUGCAAUUUUACCAUGGGAAAGAUCUUAAUAUCGAUGUCCCUCCAGACGUUACUAGAGAUGCUGUAGAAGGUAUUAAAAAUGGUAUUGGAAACGCUGUUGAUGCCUUUCAGGGUCUCGGUUGAUUUCCCUCUAUACGCAGUCGUCAUAAUGGAUUCCAGACCAGGACCGGCCGAGUCCUCACAAUGAAUUUCCCCCCUAAUGAUUUAGUUUUCUCUUCUUUCAUGAUUCUUCAUAUUCUCUCCAUGAUUUCUCUUCCUUCUAUAUCUCACAAUUAAUAAAGUAGAAUAGA